AAAAGAAAUUCUAAAGGAAACGAGUGAACAAAUUUCCAAUAUGAAAACGUCAUCAAAUGUGACAAAUCAAAAAGAAAACAGUAAUAGAAGAUAUGCCGCCAAGACCACAGGUAAACAAAUUUUGAGGAAUUAGAAGAUUAUCUCUGCCUACUACAACAAGCAGGCUUCUUUGAACUGCUAUUGUCCCAGAUAGGUGGUAAUGGGAAAAAGAACAAUGUGGGGCGUAUAUUAAAAAAAAAAAUCAGCGAAUUUGCUGUAGCUUGUUUGUUCGGUAGGAAAAUUCCGAAAUGGCUGGGACAAAAACAAUGAAUAUUAUGAAAGAAAUUACAAUGAAGACCCAUUCCGCAAUAGAAAAAGAAGUAGAACAACGCUGCUCAGAGUGGCUAAGGCAUUCUAGUCAACGCCUGAAGAAAGAAAAAACAACGACAGUUUAUAGUUU